AGAGUUUGAUCAUGGCUCAGAAUGAACGUUGGCGGCGUGGAUUAGGCAUGCGAGUCGUGCGAGAACCGUAGCAAUACGGGGACAGCGGCGAAAGGGAGAGGAACACGUGGAUACCUACCCUCAGGUUCAGGAUAGCUAUGGGAAACUAUAGGUAAUACUGAAUAAUAUCUCCGGAUCAAAGGUGUGAUUCCGCCGGAGGAGGGGUCCGCGUCCUAUUAGCUAGUUGGUGAGGUAAUGGCUCACCAAGGCGAAGAUGGGUACGGGAUGUGAGAACAUGAUCCCGCUCAUUGGGACUGAGACACUGCCCAGACACCUACGGGUGGCUGCAGUCGAGAAUCUUCGGCAAUGGGGGAAACCCUGACCGAGCGACGCCGCGUGUGAGAUGAAGGCCUUCGGGUUGUAAAUCACUGUCGUAGAGGAGGGAGUGUAGGUGGGUUCUCCCACUUAUUUGACCUAUUCUAGGAGGAAGGACGGGCUAAGUUCGUG
rnacentral:rRNA from 1 species